CCUACGGGCGGCAGCAGUGGGGAAUUUUGGACAAUGGGCGCAAGCCUGAUCCAGCUAUUCCGCGUGUGGGAAGACGGCCUUCGGGUUGUAAACCACUUUUGUAGAGAACGAAAAGUCUAUUGAUAAUACCGAUAGAUGAUGACGGUACUCUAAGAAUAAGCACCGGCUAACUACGUGCCAGCAGCCGCGGUAAUACGUAGGGUGCGAGCGUUAAUCGGAAUUACUGGGCGUAAAGGGUGUGCAGGCGGUGUUGCAAGAUGGAUGUGAAAGCCCCGGGCUUAACCUGGGAAAGCCAUACAUGACUGCAAGACUAGAGUGCGUCAGAGGGGGGUGGAAUUCCAAGUGUAGCAGUGAAAUGCGUAGAUAUUUGGAAGAACACCGAUGGCGAAGGCAGCCCCCUGGGACGCAACUGACGCUCAUACACGAAAGCGUGGGGAGCAAACAGGAUUAGAUACCCUUGUAGUC
rnacentral:rRNA from 1 species